GCGAACCAGCGCCGCUUCACGCCAAAGGACAUGAAACUAGCGCACAGCACGGCCGCCCCCAUGUCGAAAUACAGUUCCGGAUCUAAGGUGACCCAGUUGCGAAGUCCAGCCUUCUCGUCUGCUCGUGGAGCCUUCAGGACCAUAUUUGUCCCUGCGAAUUUGAAAACUAGACUAGAGGAAGGAACAGUGGGUUCAGGGUAGCAGAAGUCUUGGACCGUAGUAUGAUGUAUUGAAGAAAACUGGUCUUUGAAUGCAGCCCGAUCAGGGCCCUAAUCCUGAUUCCAACCCUGUGUGAUUCUGGGCACAUCACCUAAACUUUAUGAGACUCAUCAUGAAAUGGGGAUAAUUACACCUACCUCAGAGUUGUGAACUUUUUUUUUCUUUUUUUUGUUUUGUUUUGUUUUUGAGAUGGAGUCUCACUCUGUCGCCUAGGCUGGAGUGCAAUGACACGAUCUUGGCUCACUGUAACCUCCGCAACCUGGGUUCAAGCGAUUCUCCUGCCUCAGCCUCCUGACUAGCUGAGACUACAGGCGCUCGCCACCACGCCCGGCUAAUUUUUUGUAUUUUUAGUAGAGACGGAGUUUCACCGUGUUAGCCAGGAUGGUCUCGAUCUCCUGACUUCGUGAUCCGCCCGCCUCGGCCUCCCAAAGUGCUGGGAUUACAGGCAUGAGCCACCGCGCCAGGCCAGAGUUGUGAACUUUAAAUGUGACAAGGUCGGUCCUAGUACAUAGUAGUGGUUCAAUAAAUGAUACACAUAACGCACCAGAGGAAACCCCCGUUUCUGUUAAGUUCAAAGUAAGGGGUCCUCCUGGCUCAAAGUCAUCUCUUUGGGUUUGCCUUUUGCCUGUCCCCUGAGAGAAAAGGGAGAUCUGAACAUCUGGGACAUCUCAAGUCAGUCCAUUUCUCCAGCUGCCAUGCUCCCGCUGUAACCCAAAUUGUCAUAUUUUGUCAGUUUAAUUGCAGCAGACAUCCAGGUGGUCUCUGCAUUCCCCUCCAGUGUGUUCUCAGCCCCUUCUCCCAUGCCCCACCCGUUUAUAUGUUCUCAUAACAUCAGCUACCUUCCUUUGAAUCACUUGGCACGGUGGCAAUUAGAUAGAUAGAUAGAUAUAGAUAUACACACACACACACACACACACACGUAUAUAUAUCUGCUUUACAUAUAUAUGCUUUUUUUUAUUUUUGAGACAGGGUCUCACUGUGUCACCCAGGCUGGAGUGCAGUGGUGCGAUCUUGGCUCACUACAGCCUACACCUCCCAGGUUCAAGCGAUUCUCCUGCCUCAGCUUCCCAAGUAGCUGGGAUUACUGGCGCUUGCCACCACACCCGGCUAAUUUUUAUUUUUAGUGGAGACAGGGUUUCACCAUGUUGGCCAGGCUGCUCUCGAACUCCUAACCUCAAGCGAUCCACCCGCCUUGGCCUCCCAAAGCGCUAGGAUUACAGGCGUGAGCCACCACACCCAGCCAAUAUAUUUGUGAUUAUUUUAUUGACAAUCUUCCCCUACUAGAUCGCGAGCUCCCUAAGCACAAACACGGUGCCUGGGUUUCUGUUUACUGUUUACAGAUGCUCCUUGACUUGUGAUGGAGUUAUAUCCUGAUAAACCCAUCAUAGGUUGAAAAUACUGUAAGUUGAAAAUGUGUGGCUGACUGGAAGCUGUGGCUUGCUGACACUGCCCAGCAUUGUAAGAGAAAUACAGUUUCCACUGAAUGCAGAUCUGCUUUCGCACCAAUGUAAAGUUGAAAACUCCAAUGCUGGGAACCAUCUGUAGUAUACAGGAUGCCCUCAGGAAAUAUGUGCUGUACAGAUAAAUGAAAAGGUGUUGGGUCGGGCGCGGUGGCUAAUGCCUGUGAUCCCAGCACUUUAGGAGGCCGAGUCGGGUGGAUCACGAGGUCAGGAGUUCAAGACCAGCCUGGCCAAGAUGGUGAAACCCCGUCUCUACUAAAAAUACAAAAAUUAGCCAGACGUGAUGGCUGUAAUCCCAGCUACUCCGGGCUCCUGUAGUCCCAGCUACUUGGGAGGCUGAGGCAGGAGAAUCGCUUGAACCUGGGCGGCGGACCUUGCAGUGAGCCGAGAUCACGCCACUGCACUCCAGCCUGGGCGACAGAUUGAGACUCUGUCUCAAAAAAAAAAAAAAAAAUUCCCACCAGGCUGGGUGUGGUGACUCACGCCUAUUAUCCCAGCAGUUUGGGAGGCCAAGUGGGGGUUGGAUCACCUGAGGUCAGGGGUUCGAGACCAGCAUGGCCAACAUGGUGAAAACCCAUCUCUACUAAAGAUACAAAAAAUUAGGCUGGGCACGGUAGCUCAUGCCUGUAAUCCCAGCACUUUGGGAGGCCAGGGAUCACGAGGUCAGGAGAUCAAGACCAUCCUGACUAACACAGUGAAACCCCGUCUCUACUAAAAAUACAAAAAAAUUAGCCAGGAGUGGUGGCAGGAGCCUGCAGUCCCAGCUACUCGGGAGGCUGAGGCAGGUGAAUAGCGUGAACGCAGGAGGCAGAGCUUACAGUGAGCCGAGAUCGCGCCACUGCACUCCAGCCUGGGUGACAAGGUGAGACAACGUCUCAAAAAAAAAAAAAAAAAAAAAGCCGGGCAUGGUGCGAGGCACCUGUAAUUCCAGCUACUUGGGAGGCUGAGGCAGGAGAAUUGCUUGAAUCUGGGAGACAGAGGUUGGAGUGAGCCAAGUUCGCGCCAUUGCACUCCAGCCUGGGCGACAAGAGCGAAACUCUUGUCUCAAAAAAAAAAAAAAAAAAUUCCCAACCAGCCAGUGAAAGGUGGGCAAUAAAACCCCUUUUCACAUUUCAUUUUAAACCGGCCACUAGGGGCGGGCAUGGUGGCUCACACCUGUAAUCCCAGAACUUUGGGAGGCAGAGGCACGGGUGGAUCACUUGAGGCCAGAAGUUCGAGACCAGCCUGGCCAACAUGGCAAAACCCCAUCUCUACUAAAAAUUAGCUGGGCAUGGUGGCGGGAGCCUGUGAUCCCAACGAUUCAGGAGGCUGAGGCAGAAGGAUCGCUUGAACCUGGGAGGAGGUAGUUGCAGUGAGUCGAGAUCGCACCACUGCACACCAGGCUGGAUGACAGAGCAAGAUUCUAUCUCAUAAAUAAACAAACACAGUCACUAGGAUAAGGUCUGGGUAAAUCAGAAAGACCAUGAGAAGCCAGGCAUGGUGGCCCACAUCUGUAAUCCAGCUACGCAGGAGGUUGAGGCAAGAGGAUUCCUCGAGGAGUUUGAGGCUGCAUUGAGCUAUGAUUGCACUAUUGCACUCCACCCUGGGUAACAAAGCAAGACCCCCAUCUCUAAAAAGUAAAAAAACACGAGAGAGGAACAUAUAGAUGCAAAGAACUAGGGAAUGAGAUUGUAUACGUGUAUGUUGGAGGGUGGGGAGGUCUCUAGGCAAGGAGAAUGAGAAAAAGUCUGGGUUAAAGGUAAUUUUGUCUAUCUCUACCCACCAGUGACAACCACACAAAACAAAUUUCCUUUACCACAAUAUAGGCACAUAGUACAGAAUCAACUUUCCAGUUGGUUUUAUUUUUCCAGUCUCCUCACCUCUCCAUUUCAAAUGGCUGAGGUGUACAGCCCUAAAGUGUUGACGAGGACCAGAACCAGGAUUGUGUACAACAUGUCCAUAAAAUAGUCCUAGGAGUCUGCCUGGGUUGUCCCUAUAGGCACAAUGCCCCACCCUCCCAUCAUAACCUUAGCAAGCAGUUUCCAAUCAAGUCUCCAGCAGCAGUGGCCAGGGAUUUGUGUCAGGGGGAGGGGAAGAUUGGAUUGAGGAAGCUUGCCUUGGUACCCACUGCGCCCCUUCUCAGGGCUGAAGUCCCUCUCUACCUUUUCCUGCUCUUUCCUCUUUCCCAGAGGGAUACUGAGAAGGGAAGGACCUGGGGCCAAAUCCUCAUUUCUAGGGUUGGGACAGAUGCUGGCAUGCUAUCAGGCCAGAAGAGGGGGAUGGGUGGGUGGCCUGGCCCCUGAGAAAUGAACACAGCCAUUUGUCCCUGUGGUCCCCCCACUCCCAGUUCCUCCUACCCCUGCCUAGUGUUCUGUGCGAGAGACGAGUGGAGAAGAAAAGGCACACAUGCAAUACCUUUAAGGGUAAACAAGCUUUAUCCCACAUAAAUGGCAAUGCAGAUAUAAUAAGCAAAUGAUAUAACAAGCAAGUUCAAUGGGAAGGGGAGAAAGGAAAAGAGAUAUAUGUAUUUACACUCACCAGACUAUGGAGGAUUCACCACCAGACUGGGAAGCAACAGCAACAGCCUGGGCUCGAGAGUCGGACACUGCACUCACCAGACUAUGGCGGAUUCGCCACCAGACUGGGAAACAACAGCCUGGGCUCCAGAGUCGGCCACUCGUCCGUGCACAGACGAGGAGAGGUCUCAUGAAGCUUCGGCACAAUCUAGGACCCUAGCUCUUUUGUAAUGAGUUGUUUGGCAUGAGCUCCAGGCACGAGGGCCCUUCGUGACCAGGCUCAAGGAACACAAAAAGGUCAACUUGUUUUUGCGAUUGUCUGUUGUUUUUCAAUAACUAACAUAUAGGAAUAGAUUGAAAUAGAGAUUUAUCUGAAACAGCGCUGGAUGAAUGCCUCAACGGACUCACACAACCCGUUCCGGGACUUGGUGACCAUUGUUUGUGUCCAUGUUCAAUUGAGUUCAAAUUUAAUAUUUAACUUUUCCUCCACAUUUGGCCUCAAUCUGAUACUCAACUGUAGGAAAAUACUCUUACGGAUACACAGGGAAGCCACAAUUGAUAUAGAUUACAGAUACAGGGUAAGCACAGGAGAACUAAAAGCAUAAUUAAUAAAAACCACACCCCUCAUGGCUUUGCAAGGAGAUUCAUAUUGUGAGAAUUGUCAGGGAUAUACACAUAACAUUCAGGAUGCAGUAAGGGGCAAACCUUUCCUUGGGCUGCGGUAAGCAAACCUAAUGCCAUUUGACUUUGCAACAUGACAGUACAGAGCUGAGCAAAUUUAUCUGAUUACAACAUAAGUUCCAUGCUACUAUCAUUAAGAGCUUUUUCUACAUGUAAGCUGAAUGUUUGAAUUUGUUGCUGAAGCAGGAUUGUACCGGUGGCAGGGGAGAAUACUGUGAUAGGGUACCGUCACCAGGGAGUCCGGCGCAUUCAUAACCAGCAAUGUUUGUAAGCAUCUAGAUUACUGGGGAGAGAAAUAUUAUCCCAGAUGGUGAAUGGAAUUAAUGGCCACCCCCAAGUGUGUCUCCCCGUCCAAGCAGGUAUUGCCACCUGUAGGAUUUGCAUACCUAGAGGGCCCCCCAGGGAACAAGAAGAGUUCUACUAUAAUUGUAUCGCUGUAAUGUGUAAUUGAAGUAACAAAGGUGCUGUGUUUUGUUUGGGCUUGGGCAAAAAUAGACUGUUUGGUUAAAAGAAGUCCAGGUUGGAUUACAAGUGUUAUCCCGGGCCAGGCGCGGUGGCUCACACCUGCAAUCCCAGCACUUUGGGAGGCCGAGGAGGGCGGAUCACCUGAACUCAGGAGUUUGACAUCAGCCUGGGCAAUACGGUGAAACCCCAUCUCUACUAAAAAUACAAAAAAUUAGCCAGGCGUGGUGACAUGCACCUAUAAUCCCAGCUACUUGGGAGGCUGAGGCAGGAGAAUCGCUUGAACCCAGGAGGCAGAGGUUGCACUGAGCCAAGAUCGUGCCACUGCACUCCAGCCUGGGCGACAGAGAGAGACUCUGGCUCAAAAAAUCAAAACAAAACCAAGUGUUAUCCCACUCCCAUUGGUAUUGGCAUAUCCAUUCAGAAAUGUUAGCAGGGACAAUUCUCCAAGGUAGCCCAUUCCCAGCGGCCUCUGGCAACUCAACACAGAGCCAGCACUGACUGCAGUUGGCUUCUAUUGCAGCAGUGGCUACCCAGUUGAUGAACUCAUUCUCAGCCUCAGACAUGGUGAUCCAGGUGCUGAUUACUAGCAGACAGGUUAUUCUCUGUAAUAACAAAAAUGGAGGGGAACAUGAUACUGUUUUUCAUCUUUAGGAAAUUGUACUGUGCCUUCAUAUUCUGCUCCAAUAGCUACAAGGUCAGCAGUCUUAGGGGCAGGAUCUGAUGGACACUGUACCCAUAUUUUAGCUCCAGGAUUUAAGUUGCCCACUCUGGUGGACCUGAAUGUUCCGUUCUAUAUGUUGUUUCUAUUGGGGUGGAAAUUUCCUCGGGGGUUGACAAGAUACCACUAACAAUUGAGCAACCUGCAUCUGCAGUUUUAUAGCAAAAGAAUCUGGAGUGGUAUUGUAUAAAAUGACCUUUAACUCUCCCCAGUAAUCACUAUCAAUUAUAGCACCAUACAUUAUAAUGCCUCUCAUUGCAAGGUUUGACCAUAUUGUAAUCCAUUCAUCCGCAUUCAAGUUUGCAGUUAUGGUGGAAAUUUUGGCCUGUUGAUCUGCCUGCUGAUUAAAUAGUCUGUCAAGAAAAAGCAGAGACGCAUGAGCACCAAUAUGGCAAACAGAGAUAAUGGUAGUGUGCGCAAGGAUUCAGAUAUCUUCCCAGUAUUGUUUUCCCCAAACCUCUUUAUUCCCAAUUAACCAUUUGUUUUGUUGCCAUUGGGGCAUCCUAGUAGUGAGACCGUUUGCUACUGACCAAAUUUUUUCUACAAGUGACAAAUCCCUCUGGCCUCCUCCUGAAGAGCUUCGAGGACGGCUACCAAUUCAGCCAGCUGGCUGCUCCCACCACUUCCUUCAUCAGAACUGGUGAGUUUUGGGAGAACUCAUGACCCAAGUCAUAAUCAUAAAGACAUCAUGGUUGAAGCAGAGGUGCUCCGUUUCCAGCAAAGCCCAACAGCAAGCUAACAAUUGCUUCUUGAAAGGAGUAUAAGCUUUGCCGGCCUCUGGCAGCUUCCAGGUCCAAAACUCCAAAGAUACCCUCUUCCCAUCUUGUUUCUGCCUAAGGCUCCAAUUAGCAUGUUGAUUUAGGACAGUUACUUGCAGUUCUACUGGGCCAUCACCAUAUGGACCAUAGAUCUAGGGCCAGUUGCACUGCUUGUUUAGCUUGUUCAAAAGUCAUGGUCUCUUUCUCUCCCCAGUGAAAGUCAUAGCGUUUUCUAAUGACUGCAUGCAGAGGUUGUAAAAUGUUACCCAAAUGGGGAAUAUGACGUUUCCAGAAUCCAAACAAGCCAAUUUCUGGGCUUCCUUUUUAUUGGUAGGGGUUGCAAAUUCUAGUAUUUUAUCCUUAGCCUUUGGUAAAACGGAUUAUUUCCCUUAUUCCAUAGGAUGCCAAGGAAUUUUACAGUUUGUGCAGGUCCUUGAAUUUUACUAGGGUUAAUUUCCCAUCUUUGAGAUAGGAGCUGGGUUUGUACCUGCUCCAAACCCUGGCUGACUACUUCUUCAGUACUUCUACUUCCAGUACACUGACGGGGCCACUCAAACAGAUGCUUUUUUCAUCAAUAGGCUGAUAGCUUUGAGCCUGAUCAGUCAAGACAUAGGCCUGGCAUUGGGCCAGGACCAGUCUGGAAGUCAGAUUAGCAUUUUCCUUUUCCAGCUUACAUUUCUCCUGUAGCAACCAGUCCCUAUCUUGACACAUUAACUUAUAAGCAGUAAGCAAGCACCAUCCACGCAGGGAAAUUCCCUCAGCAUCCCCUUUACCAACUGGGAUUCCCUGCAGCACUUCACGCACAAAGGUUCAAAUUGCACUAAUUUAGAUUCCCAAUUUUCACAAAGGCCAAUUCCCUUGGACCACUCAAUGGCCACGGGGAAGAACUGGGGGAGUUCCCAUCCUUGGAUAUGGGAAGUCUCCAAGCUCCCAGCCUGGUCCUUGCGGCCGCAAAAUGGCAUGCUUUUUCUUUCGGAUUCUGUUUGUGACACCAAAAAUGUUCUGUGUGAGAGACGCAUGAGGGGAGAAGAAAAGGUGCACACACAAAAUACCUUUAAGGGUAAACUAGCUUUAUCCCAUGUAAAUGGCAAUGCAGAUAUAAUAAGCGAAUGAUAUAAGCAAAUUAAUAUAAUAAGCAAGUGAUACAAUAAGCAAAUUGCAAUAGGAAGGGGAGAAGGGAAAAGAGAUAUAUAUAUAUAUUUACACUCACCAGACUAUGGAGGAUUCACCACCAGUCUGGGAAGCAACAGCCUGGGCUCCAGAGUCGGCGACUCGUCCGUGCACAGACGAGGAGAGGUCUCAUGAAGCUUCGGCGCAGUCUGGGACCCUAGCUCUUUUGUAACGAGUUGUUUGGCAUGAGCUCCAGGCACGAGGGCCCUUCGUGACCGGGCUCAAGGAACACAAAAAGGUCAACUUGUUUUUGCGAGUGUCUAUUGUUUUUCAAUAACUAACGUAUAGGAAUAGAUUGAAAUAGAGAUUUCUCCGAAACAGUGCUGGAUGAAUGCCUCAAGGGCUCACACAACCCAUUCCAGGACUUGGUGACCAUUGUUUGUGUCCAUGUUCAACUGAGUUCAAAUUUAAUAUUUAACUUUUCCUCAGACAACUGAGGAAAAGUGUUUCCUCAACUUUUCCGCAGACAACUGAGCUCCACAGACUUCUGAGGAACUUCCCUUUUCCUCUCUCACACCUUCCUCUGCUCUCCCUCCUCCAGCUGCCUUGACCUUGCUCUGCAGCACCCCUCACCUCUCCAGAAAGCUCCCCAGCUCCCCGGCUUCUUGCGGGCCCUGUCUUCGCUUGCGCUCAGCCAUCAGCACAGCCACAGCCACUGUGAGCAGCACGGUGCCUGUGAUUCCCAGCACAGUGGCAGUCUCAGCCAGGCAAAGCUGGGCCUCCACACCACUCAGCACUGCCCCUGACAGCCUUUCAGGCCCAGCGCAAGUCAGGUUGCCCAGGUCUACAACAUGCAAGUGCCGCAGGUGACCCAACUUUCCGAAGGCUCACUGCAGGUCACAGUCACAUGUCCAGGGGUUAUCGAACAACAGCAGCCGCAUGCCUGCUGUCCAGAUGCCUGCCACUGCCUUGACCUCCAGGUGCUGCAGUCGGUUACCCACGAGAGAGAAGGCCCAGUGCUCCUAAGGUUGCAAACGCCUCGGCCUCCAGCUCACUGUCAUUCCCAGCUAGAGAGAGGACUUCCAAGCCCGGCAUAGUGGUCAGGGCAGCACCCUCCACCCGCUGCAGCUGGUUCCCAGCCAGCGAGAGCCAGUGUAGGUGGAAGAGGCCCCCAAAGAUCCCUGCGGCCAGUUCAGCCAGCUGGUUGUGGCUCAGGUUGAGCUGCUUCAGGCCCUCCAGGCGCCACAGGCUGGUGGGGUCCAGGGAAGUGAGUAGGUUGUGAGAGGUCCAGGCAGAGCAGAGAGCCCAGGGUAGCCGAGAAGUCUGCGGGCAGGUGGGCCAGCUGGUUAUGGCUGAGGUUCAGCUGCUCCAGGAAACUGAGGUCCCUAGGGCCCCAUCAGACAGAUCCUGCAGGAUAUUGAGAGAAAGCAGCAACACCCACAGUCCCCAAAAGCCCUGGAAGGCGCCAGCCGGCAGAUGGCUGAGAUUAUUGUGGCUCAGCUCCAGGAGCCAGACUCCAUCAGGCAGCCUGGAAGGGAGACGGAGCAGGUGGAGGCCCCCACAGUCCACCACGCUGCCUGAGGUAGGGCAGGUGCAUGGUAUUGGGCAUGCUGCCGCCAGACUCCUGAGAAAGACUGAUGCCACCAUGACUAUAGCCAUUGUGAGGGAGGUGUGGCCACACCCACCCCGUCCUUGCUGCAUGAAGGGCUGGGGUGAGGAUGGCAUCAAGCACUCAUGGCUGCUGAGACCUUCAGGCCUCACUCCUCCGCCUGGGACCCUGGCAAGCACAGUGAUGCCAGGGGAGAAAAACACAAGUAGAUGCCAUUCAGGGGUCUCACCAUUUGCUGGGUGCCCAAACAUCAUCUCAAAGACACCCUGCCUCCACCUCCCAUGAUUUUAAAUGCUACCUAAGCUUCUGGCAAGAACCCUCUUGGCCUGAGACCCCAGCAUUCGGAUCCCCCUCCCUUAACCACCUCUCAUUCCUUCUUCCUGCUGGAUAAGGAGCAAUCAGGGAAGAUGGCCUGUAAUCCUCUGCACCUGCUUCCUCCCACCCCACACUGCAGCUCACUGACUUUCACCCCCACUCAGGCUGUUCUCUCCCUCUUACUUUCCCGAAGGAAGAGGAGCAGGAUCAUCAAUGGCACACGGCAGCUGCAGCAAAGCUACACCAACAGCCAGAGUCACGCUCAGGAGAGACUGUGCCUCCUCAUAGUUACCACUGCUCUGCAUGUUCAGAGAAGCUUAUCUCGUAACUACAGCAAUGAUCCCUGAGAGUACAGGCUUCUCACUGACUUUCUAGAGGGACCCAGGAGAAACUCUGCCUUCCCCGGCCCCCAAACAUGCACUCAAUUGCUCUCAUGCAGCCAACAUUUGUGGAGCUCCUGUUCUGCCAGAGGUCAGAGCAUCAACUAGAUCCUGGCCCUGUCUGGCCACUGAGGAUAGGGCCUCAGGCUGUGAAAAUCCAAUGCACUCAACCUGUGUUCCUGGCAACACCUGCACCUGAGUGCAGCCCCAGCCCAGGAAUGGCAGUGGAAAGAAUCUGGGCUCUAGUUUCCUGCCUAUCUGGCCUCCUCCCAGAGCCCAGCUCUCAGGGAAGCCGCAGCCCCAAGGGUGAGCAUGUGGGACAGGCUUAGGAAAUCCCCAGCCUUAUGGCCUUGCAUCCAGGGGAGCUGAGCUCACCCCCAGCCUCUUUCCUCACUUCCUUCUGGAGACCCACAACCUGCUCUGUAUCAUCAGAAUGGCAGCUUGAGGCCCCUUGGGGCCCUCCCUCAGUUCGGAUAGGAGUCAGGUGUCUCCUCCUUCAUUCUAUACUGCCGGCCUGAGAAAUCUGCCAUCAUCUAUAAUUCAUCCAGGUCUUGUCUUAGGCACAAAGGAAGGGAAUGCUUUUUCUUCUCACUAGGCCAAAAGUCAAAACACUUCAUCCUGGCACUUGAGGGGUGCCCAGCAUCUCCUGGAACACAGUAUUUGUGCCUAGUACCUCUGCCUUGCUCUAGGAGCCCAAACGUCCUGUCCAGGUUUCCCAGAGUGCUCACUAGCCCUGCCCAGUGAACUCUUAAGAGAAUAGUAACGGCCACACAGAAGGGCCAGGCAUCUCGUUAAAGGCUUCAUUUAAUCCUCAACUGAGGAAAAGAACUCUUUUUUUUUUUUUUUU